rnacentral:sRNA from 18 species
GUCAACCACCCCGGCCUAAAGGCCGGAGCUUGAAGUCGAAAGACAACGAGCCAGGUUGAAACAGGGAAAGCGGUAUCCAGUCCGCUACGUUAGUCACAGGUCGUUCAGACGCACCAGCGAAUGCUUCCUCAGUUCGCUGCUCUGCA